AAAGUUGUUGCAGUUAAAAAGCUCGUAGUUGAACUUCAGAUCUGGCUGGGCGGUCCGCUUAACGGCGAGUACUGUCUGGCUGAGUCUUACCUCUUGGUGAGCCGGCGUGCCCUUUAUUGGUGUGCGUUGGGGAACCAGGACUUUUACCUUGAGAAAAUUAGAGUGUUCAAAGCAGGCAUUUGCCCGAAUACAUUAGCAUGGAAUAAUAAAAUAGGACGUGCGGUUCUAUUUUGUUGGUUUCUAGAGUCGCCGUAAUGAUUAAUAGGGAUAGUUGGGGGCAUUGGUAUUGAGUCGCUAGAGGUGAAAUUCUUGGAUUGACUCAAGACCGACUAUUGCGAAAGCAUUUGCCAAGGAUGUUUUCAUUAAUCAAGAACGAAGGUUAGGGGAUCGAAAACGAUCAGAUACCGUUGUAGUCUUAACAGUAAACUAUGCCGACUAGGGAUCGGGCGACCUCAAUUAUGAUGUGUCGCUCGGCACCUUACGAGAAAUCAAAGUCUUUGGGUUCUG
rfam:Laccaria bicolor S238N-H82 LACBIscaffold_6 genomic scaffold, whole genome shotgun sequence.